AUUGAACGCUGGCGGCAGGCCUAACACAUGCAAGUCGAGCGAGCGGCGGAUGGGUGAGUAAUGUCUGGGGACUGCCCGAUAGAGGGGGGUAACUACUGGAAACGGUAGCUAAUACCGGAUCCUAACGGAUAACCCAUAUGGGAUUAGCUAGUAGGUGAGGUAAUGGCUCACCUAGGCGACGAUCCCUCGCUGGUCUGAGAGGAUGAUCAGCCACACUGGGACUGUGACACUGCCCAGACUCCUACGGAGGCAGCAGUGGGGAAUAUUGCACAAUGGGCGCAAGCCUGAUGCAGCCAUGCCGCGUGUAUGAAGAAGGCCCUAGGGUUGUAAAGUACUUUCAGUCGGGAGGCGUUACCGACAGAAGAAGCUCCAGCUAACUCCGAGCCAGCAGCCGCGGUAAUAC
rnacentral:rRNA from 1 species